rnacentral:rRNA from 1 species
UCGCCUCUUGCAUACCUAUAAGAGGUCCAGCCUGCCCAGUGACUCUGUUCAACGGCCGCGGUAUCCUAACCGUGCGAAGGUAGCGUAAUCACUUGUUCUUUAAAUGAGGACUAGUAUGAAUGGCACCACGAAGGUUAUACUGUCUCCUCUCUCUAAUCAGUGAAACUAAUCUCCCCGUGAAGAAGCGGGGAUAAUCUUAUAAGACGAGAAGACCCUAUGGAGCUUUAAACUAAGAAUCAACUGCCUUUACCAUAUUUAAAUUCCAGAAGACUAACUUUUACCAAGACAUUCUGAUUUCUAGUUUUAGGUUGGGGUGACCACGGAGUAAAAACUAACCUCCGCAAUGAACAGGGAUCUUCCCUUAACCAAGGACCACAACCCCAAGAAUCAAUACAUUGACAUCAAUUGACCCAUUAAACCUGAUCAAUGAACCAA